GCUGGGCACGGUGGCGCUCGCCUGUAAUCCCAGUGGCUCAGGAGGCUGAGACAGGAGGAUCCUAAAUUCAAAGCCAGCCUCAGAAACAGCAAAGUGCUAAGCAACUCAGUGAGACCCUGUCUUUA
rnacentral:sRNA from 1 species